rnacentral:siRNA from 1 species
AGAUCCCGUACAAGAUGGUGUUAAA